rnacentral:lncRNA from 10 species
GUGUGCCAGAGAGCAGUGAGAACCGAAGACACAGUAGCUUCUAUCAAGGCCCUCAUCGCCUGGUGGGAGACUGAGAAGGAAAGAAGGCAAUGAUGACAAGGUCAACUCUCCUCUGCCCAUCCUCUCAGAAGAUGGAUAUGCAAAAAAUGACCCCAGAGCCAUAGGAAGGCCCCAAAUGCAUCCCAAAGUACUGCAGAUGAUACCUCCUGAUCAAGCCCUGCUGCUAAUCAAUCAAUAGAAUUAAUAUAAUUAUACAAUUUCAUUUAUUCAGCCUUCUACCUUCACAAAUGCCUGGACCUUGGUUUCAGGUAAACUGGCUCGAGUUCCUGCUUGGUCUUUGCCAACAUGUGUCCAUGGGCAGGUCUUAGUCUUUCCUUUGGCCUCAGCCUCCUCAUCUCAGGAUUGCUAGAGGGGGUUAAAGGACAUUGCAUUGUAAUUUGCUUGUUUUCACACUUGGUACAUAAUACUUGCUAGAACCAUG